CCUUAUUCUGCGUCUCGCACGAGUCGAGACGACUGUUCUCGUUUCGUUGUCGUGUGACACUUCUCGCUUUAUUCCGAAUGUCGACUCGCGCGAGGCGAGGCGUUCAUUUCGUAUCGAGAGGAAGGAUGAACCGACACCGAAUUGAAGUUCACCCAGAGAAACGUCAAACUAAUAAAAGUUCAUCACUGGGCUUAGAUAAGGGCGAAAAGAAUAAAGCUUAACAAAACAAUAUUUUUAAAUAUGGUUUUUAUUACAAAUAUUUGCAAAAACAGAACCAUAAUUAAAUAAUGUAUGCUUUAUUUCACCAUUUGAGAAUAAUCCAAUGAAUUAUUGAUCGAUUUUUUAACUAUCUUUGCGACUAAAGUGAUUAUAGAAAUUCGCUCUUUUUGGAAAUGGUUAAGAUUUGUGUGUUAUAUAGUUCGCUGAAUUUUUCUUCGGAGGAAAACCAAAACAAACUAGUUACGGUUAAUUGACGAGGAAAAGUGUUUUUACGUGAUGGUAUCACCAACCUAUCAGAACCAGAUCCAGAUUUUCAUCUACGAACACCAUGGCGCACCAUUCAGAAGUUUUUUUUGCCAUCGAGAUGCUCGCAGAAGUUGGAUUGGAUUCCAUCAUAUUACACGGUUCUGGAGGAAGGAAUCUGUGCGGAAUAUAUGGGCCAUGGCGAUGGGAAUUGAACUAGUUGCUCGAGUAUUCCCGGACGUUUAAUUUCCGAAUGUUUAUCUGCUGUGCCGCCCUGGACAUUAGGAGAAGAGAAAAAUAACGAUGAAGUUACGGAGUAGAUAUUUCAUUUUGACUUUCAAAUGCUAUUAUUUGGAAAUCGAAAUAUUGCUAAUGUAAUCUCUUAUUGAAUUAUAAUUUAAAUAAAAUAAUAUGAAAGUAGUCGUAGGAUUAUAUGAAAA